UGCGGUGAUUAUAGCGUCGGGGCACACCUCUUCCCAUUCCGAACAGAGAAGUUAAGCCCGACCGCGCCGAUGGUACUGCCCAACAGGUGGGAGAGUAGGUCGUCGCCCAAU
rnacentral:rRNA from 1 species